CUCAAUGUUAAUAGCAAUAUUUUUAUCCCCAUGAUUUCAAACCUUUUGUUUUAAGGGCAAAAUAACAAAGGUAAACAAAGGUAAGCGAACCACUGCCAUCCUGUUUAUUCUCAGGACUUCUUGGUGUUUGGUCUCAUAGGAAAAUCCAAAAGCCUUUCCUGGAGAAGUUGCACUUGUUUUACAUAGGCUACUGGAUGUCUGGCUUGAUACCAAUAAUCUGAACUGUUAUUUAUUGUGGGUUCUCCAUAGUGGAGGUAAUUAUCUCUGGACAUUGAAAUGACCGGAUUGGGGCGUGCUCCACGGACCACUCCUGGGACACAUUGCAGAGGAGAGGAUUGUGUCUCUGGAACUCUUCUCCUUUGUAAGUUGAAUUAAUCUGAAUGAAUAAUUCUUCACUAGAAGAAACAGAUCCUGCUGAAUGAAAGCACAUAAUGAAGCCUUAGGGGUGAUCUGAGAAACAACUAUAAUUAUCUCUUCUCUGCUUACUGCCAUACUUAGGAAGGAGUCUUUGGACUAGGCAGAAAGUGAUCAAUUUCCUCUCAUAUUAUCCUCAACCUGUGGCCUAUUUGUACUCCUGAUUGGAUAAAAGGGUUAAGAAGAACAAAAUGGUUGGAGAGAUUUUUGAAUUUUUAUGAUAAUUAUUUGGUGUCCCAGGAUCUACUGAAUGUCUCAAGAGAGGAACUUUUUUCCACUUCACAAAUUCUAAUUUUUGACUUGAUAAAGAAUGAUGAAUAUUUGUCACACAGAUAUUUAAGUGGAAUCAGGGCUGUAUAUAACCAUGACAUAAUACUUUGUCAAAAAGUGAAAAGUUAAUCUGGUUGAGGGUAUUUUUACCUGGGAUAUGGAGAAGAUGAUGACAAUAAUGUAGAACUUGAUUAGACAUCAACAGAGACUCAAUGCCUCCUGGAAAACACCUGAGAAAUGAUUGAAGCUCGCUCUGGUCUUGCCUGGAAUCAUGCAUAACAUUUGUUGCUGCUUGCAUGUGGAUUCAUUUUAGCAGUUUAUCAAUUUGGACAGGGAAUUUUGAAUAAAAAAUUUUGGCAGUCAUUAUAGUGACUCUUCUGAGACUGAAAAUUUAGGUAACAAGGAAAAUCAGUGACUCUUUCUCUCUGCUUUCUUCAAAACACAAAUAAUCCAAUGAUGUAUAGGCUGCAUUGCCCUUUGAUUUGUUACCUUAGAGAUCAUUACAUGUUAGUACAUAAAGAAACUUCCCAAUCUUCUUUUAUAGCAUCCAGGUACUCCAAUGUGUAAUUCAGCCAUAACUUAAUAAAAUGGAC
ensembl:lincRNA